GGGGGGGGGGCUAGGAUGAAAUUUGAAAAAAUAGGCAGGACAGGAGUUUUGAGUAAAAGAAAAAAAGGCAGGAUGAGACAAUUGCCAAAAAAAAAGUCAGGACGACAAUUUAGGUAAAAAAAAGUCAGGAUAAAUAAAAAAAAAAGCAGGACCAAACAGAGUGAAAAAUAAAAAGGCAGGACAGAGAUUACAGCUAAAAAAAAAAUGCAGGACAAAAUUUUUCAUUCUAUCGAAGUGGGGCGUCCGUUUGGCUGUGCGGGAUGUAUCAAGUUCGCAGUCACGUCCGGUCAGAUUGGGGACGUUAAAUCCGAUGUCUCGUGUAAGGAGAGUGCCACGCUCUUUGCACGUUAAGAACCCUUGCAACAACUCUUUGAGGGUCCGUAGGUGGCCUGUUGCAAGGCAAAAUUUCUGUCCCUAUCCAAUAUACCCUCAUUUUCCAGUGGCAGUCCAAAUUUCCCCGAC
rnacentral:lncRNA from 1 species